CGGGUGACGGGGAAUCAGGGUUCGAUUCCGGAGAGGGAGCCUGAGAAACGGCUACCACAUCCAAGGAAGGCAGCAGGCGCGCAAAUUACCCAUUCCCGACGCGGGGAGGUAGUGACGAAAAAUAACAAUGCAGGACUCGUUCGAGGCCCUGUAAUUGGAAUGAGUACACUUUAAAAGCUUUAACGAGUAUCCAUUGGAGGGCAAGUCUGGUGCCAGCAGCCGCGGUAAUUCCAGCUCCAAAAGUAUAUAUUUAAGUUGUUGCGGUUAAAAAGCUCGUAGUUGGAUUUUGGGCGCAGGCGGCCGGUCCGUCGCAAGGCGUGUACUGGACGUCCUGGCCUUCCCUCCGGUUCUCCGCCGGUGCUCUUGACUGAGUGUCGGCGGCGGCCGGAACGUUUACUUUGAAAAAAUUAGAGUGUUCAAAGCAGGCUCUCGAGCCUGGAUAAUGGUGCAUGGAAUAAUGGAAUAGGACCUCGGUUCUAUUUUGUUGGUUUUCGGAGCGCGAGGUAAUGAUUAAGAGGGACAGACGGGGGCAUUCGUACUGUGCCGUUAGAGGUGAAAUUCUUGGAUCGGCGCAAGACGAACGACUGCGAAAGCAUUUGCCAAGAAUGUUUUCUUUAAUCAAGAGCGAAAGUCAGAGGUUCGAAGACGAUCAGAUACCGUCCUAGUUCUGACUAUAAACGAUGGAAUUAGCGAAUUCGGGGGGGGCGUUACAUUGACGACCCCCUCCGGCAGCUUACGGGAA
rnacentral:ncRNA from 1 species